rnacentral:RNase_P_RNA from 1 species
AGCCAGGUGACUGGCUGGCUAGGUAAACCCCACCCGGAGCAAGACCGAAUAGGGGAGAGUUGACGUGGCCCGCCGAUCUCCCGGGUUAGGUUGCUGGAGGUGACAGGUAACUGUCAUCCUAGAGAGAUGGCUGCCGCCCCGCAAGGGGAACAGAACUCGGCUUACAGGUCUGCUCUGUAU